CCCUCUGUCUCACAGGCUAAUCAUGCUCCCAGCUAGCUGCCUUUGUCCGAUAUGCUGAACAACUUUUAAGAAAAACUUACUCUAUUUCAGGCUGGCAACGAGGAAUGGAAUCCCAUGCAAAGCAACUUGAUGGUAUCAGUGAGAUUUGAAAGAUACAUCUAAGACUUUAAUAAGAAGAUUCAGUUCUUAAAAGUGAGGAAAUCAUGGUGGACACUGUCUUGGCACCAUGGACAAUAAUCCUGGUGAUCUUUGCUUCAGUGAUGAUAAUGAGCUUUCUGAUGUUUCUCCCGCCUGUUGCCGUGGUGAUCUGGAAAAUGAAGCAUAUGCCCCAGAUCUCUUUGCAUGGAACUGUAUAACCAGGCCUAAUGGACAAAGAAUCCUGCAACUAAACAAGCUACAAACUUACUCACAAAUAGCAACUAUUUAAUAGGAUCCAUCACAAAAACUGAGCUUUUCCCAGGCCUAUAGCUGCUGAGGUUCUGCAGGACACUGUAUAUAUAACUUUAUAUUAACUUGCUAUAGUUCCUACUACUCUUCCUACAUCUAAUUGACUGCACUGUACUUCAUAUCACUUGUUUCUUGGAUUGUGCUUUUCUUUAUGACCAUAACUGACCAAUGUAUGACAAAAAGAAAAACAAGUAGCACAUACCUUUGUAGUUAUGACCACUUGUAAAUAGCACCAAAAAGACAUAAGGUAACUAUAUUAGUCUGAAAAGCAUGGUAAGCCCUGAGAGCUAUAUAUCUAUAUCUGUCUAUCUAGCUGUCUAUCUAUAGUUUGAUAGAAGCUGAAUAUAUUUUCCCUCAAAAGGAACAGCGCAAUGAAUGGCAUAGUCAUUGCUAUUAAUUAACCACAGUCUUGUGUCUGUUUGAUUUGAAAACUCGUUCUUCUGUUUUGACCAUUUCUUCUUGUUGUUGGGUUUUUGGUUGAUUGGGUUUUUAUUUAAUUUUUUCAUAAAAUUCCAAAUGUGACAACAUAAAGCUAUCCCCAUCCCUUGGCUAGAAUUCUUAUGUGCUUUAUAACCCAGUGGUCAAAGUUCAAUUGUGCAAAUGUAAAACACAAACUGUGGCAAGCUAAAACACACAUGCUGCAGGAAUUUCCCCUGAAUUGUAGUGACCAAAUUUACUAUGGAAAACAGAAUGUGAUUAUUUAGGUUUAAAUAUGUCCUGACGUUUGUGUGCCUUAGCACUUCUCAAACUGAAUAUUUUGGAAAGGAGGGACUAGGACAAUUAAAAGCUUAUUAGCACUCCUAUCAGUAAAGCAACCUCCAGCAUUUUAUGUCAAACAUACCCAAUGUCAUAAAAGACUGUGGGCCUGAUUCUGCCCUUCUCGUGCUGCAUUUAAUAGGAUGAUUUGUGCUAUAUGUGGUUAAUGCUUUCCACUACCAUGCAGGUUUGCUCUGAGCCACAUUCUGAUCUGUGUAAAUCUGGCAUAAACAUGUGCCACUGAUCACACUCUGUAGUCUGUCCCUUUAUUGGUCACUAUUAUGUCAACUUUAAAUAAUAAUAAUAAUAAUCAAGAGGCUAAGUCCUGUUGUUCUUAGUCAGGCAAAAGUCUAUAAGAGUUUUGUCUAAACAAGGCUCAAAGACUAGAUUUCUUUAUUUUGAUGAAAAAAGAGAGAAACAAAUCUGCUUCUUUUGAAAGGAGAUAGCAAUACUUUUUGUCUCACAUGUAGGGAAUUAAGCUACUGCCUGUAUUGUAACUGACUGAACCAGAAGACUUUUUUCUCUUUCCCUUGGCAUCCUUUUCCACUUCCAUCUAAUAAACAAAGGAGGACGGUUCUGUUUAGUUAUUGGGCUGAAAUCAAAUAUUCUGGAUAAUUUUACAGUCUGGUUUUUUAUUUACUGACUUUUUAAAGCUGUAACUUCACUUCUCAGAUGCACAAAGUACAGUUGCCUUAAAAUGACCUUCAGUGUCCUUGAUGACAAUGGCUAAUGAGAGGGAAGGCUAGUGAGCAGGGCCAGCUCUAGGCUUUUUGCUGCCGCUCACCCUAGCCCUGGGCUCCCCCACACACACACUUCCUGCCACCCCAGCGCUGGACUCCCUCCUUUUCCCCUCCACCAAAGCCCUCCCCCCACCCAUACUCCCCUGCCGCCCCAGCCCUGGGCUCUCCCCCGCAACCUGCACCCGCCUGCUAUCCCAGUCCUGGGUCACUGGUAACUCGCUCCCAGGGCAGGUCAUUCAGCAAGAAUUUUGGAUGUGCACAGAACACAGACAGGAUUGGUUCCCAUGUGGUUACAGAACUGCAGUAAAGUGGAACAGUUUUCAGCUUGUGUGACUUAAGGAUAUCUGGAUGCAUAUUAUAAGACUGUCCUACAUAAAUGAGGAUAAGCUGAGGUGGCUUUAUUAUUCUUUUUUUCCACUCUUUGUUUCUAUGGUGAAUUUGCCAAUGCAAUAUUACUGUCUUCCUUUUAAACAAAUAAAACUUUUUU